rnacentral:rRNA from 1 species
AUGUUUGAACCAAAAUACCUUGGACUUCCGGUUCCUGAAGGAAGAGUUCAUAAAGGGCAUUUUGAGACGCUGCAAGAUAGAUUGAGGAAAAGACUUAUUGAUUGGAGUGAACAAUACGUUUCGGUUGAAAAUAAAGAGAUUCUUAUUAAAGCCGUGGCGCAGGAGAUACCCACCUAUGUUAUGAGUGUGUUCAAACUACCGGCCUCAGUGUGUGAUGAUCUAACCAAGAUGAUGAGGCAAUAUUGGUGGGGGGUGGAAAAUGGCAAGAGGAAGAAGGCAUGGCUAAGCUGGGAGAGGAUGAUGUUACCGAAGGCCAUGGGGGGUAUGGGAUUCUGA